CGGCGUGCCUAAUACAUGCAAGUCGAACGCACAGCGAAAGGUGCUUGCACCUUUCAAGUGAGUGGCGAACGGGUGAGUAACACGUGGACAACCUGCCUCAAGGCUGGGGAUAACAUUUGGAAACAGAUGCUAAUACCGAAUAAAACUUAGUGUCGCAUGACACAAAGUUAAAAGGCGCUUUGGCGUCACCUAGAGAUGGAUCCGCGGUGCAUUAGUUAGUUGGUGGGGUAAAGGCCUACCAAGACAAUGAUGCAUAGCCGAGUUGAGAGACUGAUCGGCCACAUUGGGACUGAGACACGGCCCAAACUCCUACGGGAGGCUGCAGUAGGGAAUCUUCCACAAUGGGCGAAAGCCUGAUGGAGCAACGCCGCGUGUGUGAUGAAGGCUUUCGGGUCGUAAAGCACUGUUGUAUGGGAAGAACAGCUAGAAUAGGGAAUGAUUUUAGUUUGACGGUACCAUACCAGAAAGGGACGGCUAAAUACGUGCCAGCAGCCGCGGUAAUACGUAUGUCCCGAGCGUUAUCCGGAUUUAUUGGGCGUAAAGCGAGCGCAGACGGUUGAUUAAGUCUGAUGUGAAAGCCCGGAGCUCAACUCCGGAAUGGCAUUGGAAACUGGUUAACUUGAGUGCAGUAGAGGUAAGUGGAACUCCAUGUGUAGCGGUGGAAUGCGUAGAUAUAUGGAAGAACACCAGUGGCGAAGGCGGCUUACUGGACUGUAACUGACGUUGAGGCUCGAAAGUGUGGGUAGCAAACAGGAUUAGAUACCCUGGUAGUCCACACCGUAAACGAUGAACACUAGGUGUUAGGAGGUUUCCGCCUCUUAGUGCCGAAGCUAACGCAUUAAGUGU
rnacentral:rRNA from 1 species